AGAGUUUGAUUAUGGCUCAGGAUGAACGCUAGCUACAGGCUUAACACAUGCAAGUCGAGGGGUAGCAGGAUCUAGCAAUAGAUUGCUGACGACCGGCGCACGGGUGAGUAACACGUAUCCAACCUCCGUUUACUCGGGGAUAGCCUUUCGAAAGAAAGAUUAAUACCCGAUAGUAUGUUUUUCCCGCAUGGGAGAACCAUUAAAGUUUUUCGGUAAUCGAUGGGGAUGCGUUCCAUUAGGCAGUUGGUGAGGUAACGGCUCACCAAACCUUCGAUGGAUAGGGGUUCUGAGAGGAAGGUCCCCCACAUUGGAACUGAGACACGGUCCAAACUCCUACGGGAGGCAGCAGUGAGGAAUAUUGGUCAAUGGACGAGAGUCUGAACCAGCCAAGUAGCGUGAAAAGGAUGACUGCCCUAUGGGUUGUAAACUUCUUUUAUAUGGGAAUAAAGGAGCCUACGUGUAGGUUUUUGUAUGUACCAUACGAAUAAGGAUCGGCUAACUCCGUGCCAGCAGCUGC
rnacentral:rRNA from 1 species